rnacentral:rRNA from 1 species
AUGGUACUGCAGCAGGAAGACAUAAGCGUCAUUGGGAGGUUGCCAUCUCUUCGUUCUCUCAGCAUAAUGAGCUCACACCAAACGGAAAGGCCGCUGCUCAUUGGUGCGGAUGGUUACCGCAGUAUGAAGGCCUUCAACUUGAGCUGUGUGAAUUCUGGGCAAGUAGUAGUAUUUCAGCAAGGAGCUUUGCCCAAUGCUACAUCAGUUAAAUUGGAUUCCGGUGUCUGGAUUCCAAGAGAUGGUGGUUUUGAUCUGGGCCUCGGGAACCUGCUAUCCCUUGGGCAGCUGUUGCUCACAAUCCAUCGUGAUGGGGUCACGGUUGCGGAGGCCAAGGAAAUGGAGGCUGUGCAGAGGCACGCACUGGAUGUGCAUCCAAAUCGCCCCAGCACCACAUUUCAAAUGGAGCCACCUAUUCCAGACGAUUUGAGUGACCACUAG